rnacentral:rRNA from 1 species
GAGUUUGAUCGUGGCUCAGGAUGAACGCUGGCGGCGUGCUUAACACAUGCAAGUCGAACGAAGCGCCUUAUUUGAUUUUCUUCGGAACUGAAGAUUUGGUGACUGAGUGGCGGACGGGUGAGUAACGCGUGGGUAACCUGCCCUGUACAGGGGGAUAACAAUCAGAAAUGACUGCUAAUACCGCAUAAGACCACAGCACCGCAUGGUGCAGGGGUAAAAACUCCGGUGGUACAGGAUGGACCCGCGUCUGAUUAGCUGGUUGGUGAGGUAACGGCUCACCAAGGCGACGAUCAGUAGCCGGCUUGAGAGAGUGAACGGCCACAUUGGGACUGAGACACGGCCCAAACUCCUACGGGAGGCAGCAGUGGGGAAUAUUGCACAAUGGGGGAAACCCUGAUGCAGCAACGCCGCGUGAGUGAAGAAGUAUUCGGUAUGUAAAGCUCUAUCAGCAGGGAAGAAAGUGACGGUACCUGACUAAGAAGCCCCGGCUAACUACGUGCCAGCCGCCGCCGUAAC